GCGGAAGGAUCAUUAANGAAUGUCAACAACCUUCCNCNNNGGCUNCAANNNGGGGNANNCNAGGNNNCNUNGCNNGGGGGUNNUNNAACACCUGUGCACCCAGCGAGCGUGUCCCCUUCAAGGGGGGAAGCGUUCACUCCCUUUUGUAACCAAACGCCUGUUAACGAAGCAUGUCUAAUCGAGCUCUACGGAGCGAGUAACAUAUAAUACAACUUUCAACAACGGAUCUCUUGGCUUUCGCAUCGAUGAAGAACGCCGCGAAAGUGCGAAACGUAAUGUGAAUUGCAGAAUUCAGUGAAUCAUCGAAUCUUUGAACGCAUCUUGCGCUCCUUGGUAUUCCGAGGAGCAUGCCUGUUUGAGUGUCGUGAAGUCUAUCGAUCCGUGGCCCUUUGUAAAUCGGGGGGCCGGUGGGUCGGAUUUGGACNCUGCCGUCCUUCAGUGGACGGCUCGUCUCGAAAUGCAUUAGCUGUUCCCAUCCGCAGAGCAAGCGGUGUGAUAAGAAAACUCGCUGGCGUCGGUGGUAACAAAAUGGGUCGGCUCAGCAGUCGUCUUCGGACAAAACAUCAUCAUCGACCUCNUUUCCNGAGA
rnacentral:rRNA from 1 species